rnacentral:lncRNA from 1 species
AUAAGCUAUUCUGAAAAAAUAUAAUCAAAAAAUGAUAGCAUGGGAGGAUAUAUACAAAAUAGUGGUGGCAAUGGUGCCAUUUUACGCAGCAUUGGCGUUAGGCUACGGCUCCAUAAGGUGGUGGCAUAUGUUUAAACCAGACCAUUUUGAUGCUAUAAAUCGCUUCAAUUGCUAUUUCAUAAUGCCAUUUUUCACCUUCGAGUUCACAGCUCAUGUAAAUCCUUAUAAGAUGAAUUAUCUCUUCCUUGCCGCGGAUGUUAUAGCUAAAGUCGUCGUUGGCAUCGUUUUAGCUUUGUGGGCUAAUUUGAGUAGCAAAGGGAAGUAUGAUUGGUCUGUAACAUGCUUCUCUUUAUCAAGUCUCAAUAACACUCUUGUUGUAGGAGUUCCACUAUUGAAAGCCAUGUAUGAUCAAAUGGGAGCUGAUCUUGUUAUACAGUCAUCAGUUAUACAGUCUCUCUUUUGGUUCCCUGCUCUUUUAUUCAUGUUGGAAUUCAGACGUACGAGGUGUGAAACAUCAGCAAUCUCAACAGCCCCGGUCUUAGAUGACCGGCAAGUGAAUUUG